rnacentral:rRNA from 1 species
ACUCUGUAGCGGUGGGAUCACUCGGCUCGUGCGUCGAUGAGGCGCAGCCAACUGCGUGAAUUAGUGUGAAUUGCAGGAUAUCUUGAACAUCGACAUCUUUGAACGCAUAUUGCGGCCUCAGGUCUCCCUGUGCCACGCCUGGCCGAGGCGUCG